rnacentral:rRNA from 1 species
UACGGGGGGUGCAAGCGUUGUUCGGAAUCAUUGGGCGUAAAGAGCGUGUAGGCGGCUUGGUAAGUCAGAUGUGAAAGCCCUGGGCUCAACCCGGGAAGUGCAUUUGAAACUGCCAGGCUCGAGUAGGGGAGAGGGAAGUGGAAUUCCUGGUGUAGAGGUGAAAUUCGUAGAUAUCAGGAGGAACACCGGUGGCGAAGGCGACUUCCUGGCCCUAUACUGACGCUGAGACGCGAGAGCGUGGGUAGCAAACAGGAUUAGAAACCCCCGUAGUCC